UACGGAGGGUGCAAGCGUUGUCCGGAUUUAUUGGGUUUAAAGGGUGCGUAGGCGGCCCUGUAAGUCAGAGGUGAAAGCCUCCAGCUCAACUGGAGAACUGCCAUUGAUACUGCAGGGCUUGAGUACAGACGAGGUUGGCGGAAUUGAUUGUGUAGCGGUGAAAUGCAUAGAUACAAUCAAGAACUCCGAUUGCGUAGGCAGCUAACUAGGCUGUAACUGACGCUGAGGCACGAAAGCGUGGGGAGCGAACAGG
rnacentral:rRNA from 1 species